ACUCCUAAGGUAGGGAAGCAUAACUGUGGGCUGUGUACAGUAACUUUCUUCUGGAAAGUAAAAGAAGGAAGGAGAGGGAAAAGAGUAGCUUUGCCAUGGAGAAACUUGAUGAAUACUUCACUCCAGCCAGGUGGUCCAGGUUAACAACACUGGCUACCGAAAAGAAGACGCACUUGGCUGGCAGCUUUUUAUCUUUCUCUUGAGCAUUUGAAACUCCGGGCUCCCUGCCUUCCUGGUACCAUGGAUAAAGUCCAGUACCUCACUCGCUCUGCUAUAAGAAGAGCUUCAACCAUUGAAAUGCCUCAACAAGCACGUCAAAAUCUCCAGAACCUAUUUAUCAAUUUCUGUCUCAUCUUAAUAUGUCUCUUGCUGAUCUGCAUCAUCGUGAUGCUUCUCUGAAGUUCUGCUGCAAUCUCCAGUGCUGCCACUUACCACCAUCAGCUUAAAAUCUGUCAUCCCAUGAAGAAGGGGAAACAAUACUAUAUAAGAGACCACUUCCUAAAUAGAAGAAUUUCUUUGUGAAAAGGUCGAGAUUUGGAACAGAGCAAAUUGUUAGCAAACAUAUUCAUCUGCUGGAUGUUGUAAACAUAAGAAGGGCUUUAUUUUCAAAAAUUAACUUUAAAGUGACUAUAAUGAGAAAUCUUCCAGUAAAAUACGUUGAAAUCAUUAGGUGUCAAUAUCCUGGAUGAUCAAGCCCCACCUUGUUUAAAACAAGCACAAAAUUUUAUCUUCUUCUUUUUAAUGUCUGCAACACAGUACUCAGAAACAUCCUACAGAAUAUAAGAGAAGAGAAGAGCUACUUUGUCAAUAAAGCGACCACUCCUUCACUUCUGUCUGGAAGAUCCACUGUGAGCUUAUAGGGAUUCAAUGGAUCGUGUUGUAUGUAGAAAUAUGCAUCCUUCAUUUCCUUCCCACCCCUCUCCCCAUCCCCCAAAAAGAAAUGCAAAAGGGGCUUAGAAAGGGACACAGUCUUUCCAGAGAAGACAAGAGUCUGCUGUUUGUUUUCCUCUUACGUCACAGUUUUCGUAGGGUUAAACAGCUUUAGGCGAAGGUGGGAAGAGAGCCGCUAAUGUAGAGCAGAGGAAAGAACCAAGGACUACGGUGGACAUUGUACAUGGAGACCUAUAUCCUAAGGACACCUAAGGACACCCGAUGCUUCUCUUCAUUCACAAGGGGAAAUGCUUCAGAGUUCUACACCACCUGUAUUCUAGCUAAUUUAGUAAGGAACUACGAGAAACAAGGAACACCAUGCAAAUAAGACUGUGAGGCUGGCUCAGUAAAUGUUCAGGACUGAGUUCUAAGAAGAGAAACACUUUCAUGUCGCAAUACUAAUCUUUUGAGGGAGUAAAAGGAGGAAGGAGGCUCUGAGCAUCAAAUGAGAUAAAACAUUCUGACAGCUACAAAAGUUCUAGAUAAAUUUAUGGUGAUGUUAGAUUGUGACUCUUAGCCAAAUUCCUUUUCUUAGCUGUAAAAUAUUUUGUUUCUUCUUCACAGUGACAAACAGUUGUCAUUGAAAAUCACAUUCUCACAAUUUAUCAAUGGAAUAAUUAUCAUUAAGGCUCUUCCCUUUAUACAAAAAUUAGACUAAAAAGAAGUCAAUGUUUUAAAGAGACCUAAGAAACAAGAAAGAUGAGAACUUUAAAAGAAAGAUAUUUGGAAGCUCCAAGGAGAAGGUAUUUAAGAUUGUUUUCUUCUAUAAUAGUCCAGGAGAAUAGAAGAGAAGUUGUCAAACAUUUCAGUUAAAGUAUCUAGGUUUUCUUUACCUGGUUUCACCUUUCUACUAUGAAACUUUAAGCUUAAACUUUAAGUUUAAGCACUAUAAAGAGACCAUCCUAAAGGUUAAUCUAAAAGUAGGACUCUCCAAGCACAUGCAAAUUUUGUCCCUUUUCACCUUCUUCCUCUACCAUGCACCAAGAAUAUUUUAAAAUAAGUUUGCUCCACAAAGCACCUCCAAGCUCCCUACCCAUUCUCGGCAUUGCUUCAAGGUUGGGGAAAACUUCGAUUACUGAAGAGGAUCCUCUCAACAGAAUGGAAGGAGUGAAAUUAGUACUUAUUCUCUGAAAUUCACUCAAGCUUCUCAGUUACCUCUCUAUGGCACCUACUUCAGGUUGGAGCAAAACAUUCAGUCCCCUCCCCCAACCAUCCCAGGUUAUUCCAGUUCUGUGUAAAGACACCAGCUGGAGAAACAACUACCCAAUCCCUGUUUUCCUGUAACCACAAGCACUUGAGAACUAAAAUAUGACAGCAUUUGAUGAAUUAGGUUUCCUAUCUUUCAACUGCUUGAAUAGAUAAAUCACAAUAAAUCUGGUUAAACUGCUCUUUUAUGAUUUGUUAUUCACACAUCAUGAUACAUCUGUUUGGUUAUGCAGUUUAAAUAUAUAUAAUCAAGAUAAUAAGAACUAUGUUCAAAAUAAGAGUAAAGAAAGCGCAGAGGAGGUAUUAAGGGCUCUCCUGUGAAUGGAGCACAUUAGGUUAUGUGUAUGUUUUGGGGCUGCGCUCAGAUUCGUGACAUUACUAGAUAAGUGAUUUCCUUAUUCUUUCAUAGAAUAUAUUCCUUUAAUCUUCAUUAUUUUUUAUUAGUAAUUUUAAGUUUUUACUCCAGGGAAAUUCUGCAAUUUUCGAUGAAAUCACUUUGUUUCAGAAAACUCUGGUAAUAAGAAAAAAAUGGAUGACAGGAUUUAUGAAAAAUUCUAUAGACAAUAGGUUUCCCAGUUAAAAUGCGCUGCAAACAAUUACCUUGGAACAAAAGACAUUUUCAGAUCAAGAAAUUUACACAUUUACAUUUGACAUUAGGAAGUACACACUUCUUUUUAUGUAAUAUUAUCAUAUAGUACUUUCCUUAAAAUGAUUAAUAAAUCUUGAAACCCAAUUUUUUUUAAAA